rnacentral:rRNA from 1 species
CCUACGGGUGGCAGCAGUGGGGAAUCUUAGCCAAUGGGCGAAAGCCUGAUCUAGCCAUGCCGCGUGAGUGAUGAAGGUCUUAGGAUCGUAAAGCUCUUUCGCUAGGGAUGAUAAUGACAGUACCUAGUAAAGAAGCCCCGGCUAACUCCGUGCCAGCAGCCGCGGUAAUACGGAGGGGGCUAGCGUUGUUCGGAAUUACUGGGCGUAAAGCGUACGUAGGCGGAUCAGAAAGUAUGGGGUGAAAUCCCAGGGCUUAACCCUGGAACUGCCUCAUAAACUCCUGGUCUUGAGUUCGAGAGAGGUGAGUGGAAUUCCAAGUGUAGAGGUGAAAUUCGUAGAUAUUUGGAGGAACACCAGUGGCGAAGGCGGCUCACUGGCUCGAUACUGACGCUGAGGUACGAAAGUGUGGGGAGCAAACAGGAUUAGAUACCCUGGUAG